rnacentral:lncRNA from 1 species
CUUCAGGAGUGAAGCUGCAGACCUUCGCGUGAUGGAGGUUGAGAAGUCCAACUUCAAGGCACCACAUCUGGUGAGAGCCUUCAUUCCGAUGACAGCCUUCAUGCUGGUAAGAUUUUCUUCAGAGUUCCAAGGUGGUGCACGGCAUCACAUGGCGAAGGAAAUGAGCGUGCUAGCUCAGGUGUCUCUUCCUCUUCUUAUAAAGCCACCAGUCCCACUCCUGUGCUAGUAACUCUUUAAUCCAUCAACCCAUUAAUCCAUGAAUAGAUUAACCCAUGAGGCCUCUGCCCUCAGGACCCAAUCACCUCUUAAAGGCCUGACCUGUCAAUAUUGCCAUACUGGGGACUCAGUUUCAACAUGAGUUUUGAAAGGGACAAACAUUCAAUCCAUAGUAACAUGAGAGCUUUUCAAAGCCCUUCUUUGUUGAAGUAUGUCCUUCUCCAGCCUCUUUUUUCCCAGGCUUUUUGUUUUUUCUAUUGCUUGUGCAGCUGUUAUCCUUUGCUACAGGUGGCAAUAGCUAAUACAUUUGCCUUUAAAUUUGUUUGACAAACACCACCCUGGAAGUAGCCUCAACUCUGGGGAAGCUCCAAGACAGGUAAAAUACAGCAACCUGCAGCAGGAAAAUGGGCUUCAGUUUUCAAGUCUGCAGCUGAGUUGGGAAGUUGCGGACAGUAACCAGAGGAAAGGCCACAUGGGGACAAGAGAGGGCAACUGUCUACAAAUCUGGAAGAGAGACUUCAGAAGAAACCAGCACUGAUGGCAUCUGAUCUUGGACUUCCAGCCUCUGGAUCUAUCUGCCAGAGCCUGAUCUCAUACACACUGAUGUGGUACAGGAAAUGCCACCUGAAAAUAUGGUACCUUGGCAUUUGAGGAAACAGUAGAAGGAGGUCAUAGAAACUAGAAAGAAUUCCUCCUUGCUCUUUGUCCCCCAAAGGAGCCAUAAAACCUGGGCCGAGUUUCUUCUGAAAAUAAGUUAUAAGAUCCUUAUUCCAGAGGGGUCCUGCCCUGUGCCUGGAGGAAAAGAAUGAAGACACAGAGAUGCCUUGAAGAAUCUGAACAAACAGCCCUUGCUAAGUUCCCCCCAGUUUAUUGACAUUAGAUUAGACCUUUUGUCCUCCAAUUAUACUUCUGUGUUCCUGAAAAUACACAUUUUCCCGUUUUUUCUUUUGUUUGCUUUUUUUGAUCUUCAUUUCUGAAGA